CGCAAGUAGAAUUUUGUAGCCACUCCCACACCCUUCGGGAACAAUAGCCGAAGGUAUACACACCCACGGGUAGGAUUGCUACCCUGCCUAGAUAGCUCAGCGUUUGAUCUCAUACCACUACUCCACAAGUAACACUAGAAGAAAAUGAAUUUCUAACCUCCCCAUUUACAAAAAAGAAAAUUCACGAUGCAGUUUUUGAUAUGGAACAUAACAAAACGCCUAGCCUAGAUGGUUUCCCAGCUAAGGCCUUGUUUGAUUUUUUUUUUUUUUUGAAUUGAACACUGUAGUACUUUUAUUUGUAUUUGAUAAUUAUUAUUCAACCAUAACUAGUCUCAAAAGAUUCGUCUCGUAAAUUACAGAUAAAUUGUGCAAUUAGUUAUUUUUGUUCUAUAUUUAAUGCUUCAUGCAUGUGCCGCAAGAUUUGAUGUGAUGAAAAAUCUUUAAAAAAAAUUGGAUUUUGGGUGGAACUAAACAAGACCUAAGUUUUAUCAAAAAAAUUUGAGAGGUCAUUAAAGGUGACCUACAACAGAUGAAGACCUGAAGCGUCCUGUCCUAUAUCCACGCCAGUACCUCAAGAUGGCAAUGGACACUCGAAACCCGAAACCGAUGAGUUUUUACUCUACUAGGGUAAGGAUAUAGGUCAAUUUCUCUGCCCAUAGGUUUGUUAAUGGGCAAAAAUUCACACCCAACAUGUUUGUUGUGGGCAUGGCUCCGGGGAUGUAAUACCCAAAACUAUAAACUCAUGGGUUUUAAAAACUCAAUCUAUCACAGUGAAGUAGUCAUAUCAGUCCAUAAUAUCUUAAAUUUUUCUACUAAACUACUAUAUUCAGAGACAUAUACAAGAUGAUAUCUGCAUUCAAGUGAAAAAUGGGAAGAAUGAAUACAAUUUCAUGAUGUGAGACAUGAUUUUCAUGUUUUAUUUUUUUUCUUCGUUGCUAUACGGACAAGCCCAUGGGCAACU
rnacentral:lncRNA from 1 species